GGGGUUGUGGUUCAGUGGUAGAGCACUCGCUUAACAUGUAUGAGGCCCUGGGUUCAAUUCUCAGCACCA
rnacentral:tRNA from 1 species